rnacentral:rRNA from 1 species
AGGACGAACGCUGGCGGCGUGCUUAACACAUGCAAGUCGAGCGGAAAGGCCCUUCGGGGUACUCGAGCGGCGAACGGGUGAGUAACACGUGAGUAAUCUGCCCCUAGCUCUGGGAUAGCUCCGGGAAACCGGGAUUAAUACCGGAUACGACCACCUUAGACAUCUUUUGUGGUGGAAAGAAUUUCGGCUAGGGAUGAGCUCGCGGCCUAUCAGCUUGUUGGUGGGGUAACGGCCUACCAAGGCGACGACGGGUAGCCGGCCUGAGAGGGCGACCGGCCACACUGGGACUGAGACACGGCCCAGACUCCUACGGGAGGCAGCAGUGGGGAAUAUUGCGCAAUGGGCGAAAGCCUGACGCAGCGACGCCGCGUGGGGAUGAAGGCCUUCGGGUUGUAACCCCUUUCAGCAGGGACGAAGCGAAAGUGACGGUACCUGCAGAAGAAGCGCCGGCUAACUACGCGCCAGCAGCCGC